AUGAACGCUGGCGGCGUGCCUAAUACAUGCAAGUCGAGCGAACAGACGAGGAGCUUGCUCCUCUGACGUUAGCGGCGGACGGGUGAGUAACACGUGGAUAACCUACCUAUAAGACUGGGAUAACUUCGGGAAACCGGAGCUAAUACCGGAUAAUAUAUUGAACCGCAUGGUUCAAUAGUGAAAGACGGUUUUGCUGUCACUUAUAGAUGGAUCCGCGCCGCAUUAGCUAGUUGGUAAGGUAACGGCUUACCAAGGCGACGAUGCGUAGCCGACCUGAGAGGGUGAUCGGCCACACUGGAACUGAGACACGGUCCAGACUCCUACGGGAGGCAGCAGUAGGGAAUCUUCCGCAAUGGGCGAAAGCCUGACGGAGCAACGCUGCGUGAGUGAUGAAGGUCUUCGGAUCGUAAAACUCUGUUAUUAGGGAAGAACAAAUGUGUAAGUAACUAUGCACGUCUUGACGGUACCUAAUCAGAAAGCCACGGCUAACUACGUG
rnacentral:rRNA from 1 species